rfam:Sporomusa sphaeroides DSM 2875 SPSPH_contig000001, whole genome shotgun sequence.
AUAACGGCGAAGAAUGGAAAAGUAGGCUGAUGCGCCUGUUUUAGAGAGGGAACCCGAGGCUGGAAGGUUUCUCUGUGUGCAAGCUGAAGGUCAUCCAGGAGCCGCCCCGCUGAACCGAUUUAGUAGGCGUGGCCGGAUUGCCCCGUUACGGCAGAGCAAGUGUUCGGUUUUGGCCGAAAAUCAAGGUGGUACCGCGGAAGUUAAUUCUUUUCGUCCUUAUA